rnacentral:rRNA from 1 species
AUUGAACGCUGGCGGCAGGCCUAACACAUGCAAGUCGAGCGAGCGGCGGACGGGUGAGUAAUGUAAGGGGGCUGCCCGCUAGUGGGGGCUAACUAAAGGAAUCGGUAGCUAAGAACGCAUCCUAUAGGACAACCCAUCUGGGAUUAGCUAGUUGGUGAGGUAAUGGCUAACCCAGGCGACGAUCCCUAGCUGGUCUGAGAGGAUAAUCAGCCACACUGGGACUGAGACACGGCCCAGACUCCUACGGAGGCAGCAGUGGGGAAUAUUGCACAAUGGGCGCAAGCCUGAUGCCGCCAUGCCGCGUGUAUGAAGAAGGCCCUAGGGUUGUAAAGUACUUUCAGUCGGGAGGCGUUACCGACAGAAGAAGCACCGGCUAACUCCGUGCCAGCAGCCGCGGUAAUUC